AAUUCGAAGCAACGCGAAGAACCUUACCAGGUCUUGACAUCGAGUGGCGGAUACAGAGAUGUAUCCUUCCUUCGGGACACGAAGACAGGUGGUGCAUGGUUGUCGUCAGCUCGUGUCGUGAGAUGUUGGGUUAAGUCCCGCAACGAGCGCAACCCUUAUCAUUAGUUGCUACGCAAGAGCACUCUAGUGAGACUGCCGUGGAUAACACGGAGGAAGGUGGGGAUGACGUCAAAUCAUCAUGCCCUUUAUGACCUGGGCUACACACGUACUACAAUGGCACUCAAACAGAGGGAAGCGACACCGCGAGGUGAAGCAAAUCCCGAAAAAGUGUCUCAGUUCGGAUUGCAGGCUGCAACUCGCCUGCAUGAAGUCGGAAUUGCUAGUAAUCGCGGAUCAGCAUGCCGCGGUGAAUACGUUCCCGGGCCUUGUACACACCGCCCGUCACACCAUGAGAGCCGGUAACACCCGAAGUCAGUAGCCUAACCGCGAGGGGGGCGCUGCCGAAGGUGGGAUUGGUAAUUGGGGUGAAGUCGAACAAGGUAACC
rnacentral:rRNA from 1 species